GAUACUACGAUGUAGAAUAUGAACCUUAAAUGUUCCAUAGAAACGCUUCAAUAAGCGCCACUGCUGCUCAAGUGCAUAGUAUGUUGGAAGGAAGACCAAAAUUCCCUUUUCAAUAUCCAUUUCGUUUUUAUGAAUGUAUAUAAUUAAAUUGAGUAUGAGCUGAUACAUUUCAGGCUCGAUAUCAGCAGCAACUGCCCAUGGACUUGGACCAGAACAGCAUUUCAGAGCCGUCUCCUCUGAUUCCAUAUUAAGGAGUUCAGCUACCUGCUCAAUAUAUGAAACUUUUCGCUGAUAUGUGGUGUCUUG
rnacentral:misc_RNA from 1 species